rnacentral:rRNA from 1 species
GUCGAGAAUAAUUCACAAUGGACGAAAGUCUGAUGGUGCAACGCCGCGUGGAGGAUGACGGUCUUCGGAUUGUAAACUCCUGUCAUCCGGGAGUAAGACCUGGCUGUGAAUAGCAGACAGGGUUGAUAGUACCGGAAGAGGAAGGGACGGCUAACUUCGUGCCAGCAGCCGCGGUAAUAUGAAGGUCCCGAGCGUUGUUCGGAAUCACUGGGCGUAAAGGGAGCGUAGGCGGCGUGGUAAGUCAGAUGUGAAAUCCCGGGGCUCAACCCCGGAACUGCAUCCGAUACUGCCGUGCUAGAGGAUUGGAGAGGUAGCUGGAAUUCUUGGUGUAGCAGUGAAAUGCGUGGAGAUCAAGAGGAACACUCGUGGCGAAAGCGAGCUACUGGACAAUAUCUGACGCUGAGGCUCGAAGGCCAGGGUAGCGAAAGGGAUUAGAAACCCUAGUAGUCC